rnacentral:pre_miRNA from 1 species
CAAAUACUCCCUCCGUCCGAAAUACUUGUCAUCAAAAUGGAUAAAAGGAAAUGUAUCUAGACGUAUUUUAGUUUUAGAUACAUUUAUUUUUAUCCAUUUUGAUGACAAGUAUUUUCGGAUGGAGGGAGUAUUUA